rnacentral:tRNA from 1 species
GGGUGGCUACAGCGAGGACGCCAGGCCGAUGUUGUUGCGCCCGGCGGACGGCGCUUCCGUGGUCGUCGACGCCUGGGUUGCACUCCAGGCCAUCCGC